rnacentral:tRNA from 1 species
UGUCAAGGGAUGGGAAUAGAAUCCACGACCUUCCGCUUACCGGGCAGAUGCCAUGACCACUAGGCUACCCUGGAC